GUUUAUUCUUCUGCCGGCACUCCCAGAAUGCAACCAGUUAUUUUUUUAUUCCACGUUAUAUUUUACGUUUGUAGAUAGGACAAUAUUGUAAUAAAGAAGCUAUUUAAGUGCAAGCAAUAAAAAUAUAAUUAUACCGUAUUAUCUUUUUUUAGUUUACACGAGAGAUACCAAUUGCUCCAACUUAUAUGAUGGGCAAAGUAGAGGGCAAACGAUGCGCUGGAAGAAGAGACUAUGGAUGCCUGCAUGAAGAAAAGUAUCCAUGUCACAAAAUGAAUAUACACUGGCUUAGAGUUAGUUUAUAUUAAGCACAUAAAUGCCGCAGCCUAGAAGAAAUACAGCAGCAACUUGUGGAGGGCUGAAUAGGCAUGUUCUUUAAAUUAGUGUUGGGAAUCAUAGGUUCAGCAGCAGUGUUAUUUUAGUUUUUUGUUAUUUCCUAUCAUUAUUAUUCAAUAUAAUAUGAAUUUGUAUUGCUAGACCCUUAUCUCUGGUGAAAUGUAAGGUUUACUAAUUUUUUUGUCAUUGUAACCUAAUAGUAAUUUUUAAGAAGAAUUUACUUAUUUGUACUAUAUCAUUUAAAAAAUAAUUAUUUUUACAGACAGCCUGGUGAUAUUCGAAAUUUAGCCCCCAAUUCUAUUUUUUCCCAUUCCGUAGAUCCACAACUGUCCCUAAGUCCUCAGUUCUUAAUCCCAUAUCCUCAGGACCUGUGAUCUAUGAAAUUGAAUGUGAAAUGAAAAGAAAUAAAAUGCUUUAUUUUUAUAUAA